rnacentral:lncRNA from 1 species
CCGGCUACUAUACUCUUAUGAGUACGAUCGCCUUCGUACUCAUAAGUUAUUUUUGAUGAUAGAGUUUCCGAAUUAACGAUCCAUACCGUUAAACAUUUUCUAGAACAUUUAAAACUACUACAAAUCAAAUUUUAUAAUUUUUCAAUAUCAUUUACCUUACGAUCAAAAGCUCACAAAAUUGACAAUUUUUAACAGCCGGUAUGAAAUAUUUGCUAGUUUAACGGUAUAAAAGAAUCGGAAUAGGUUGAAUUUUUAAUAAAAUAUUCUAUUCACUACCUAAAUAAAGAUCAAUAACUCUGAUCUUAAAUUUAAGGAUCCGAUCAUCUAUUUUUAGUAUGUUGUUCGAUUUUAACCAUUCAUUUUAUAUCCGCUUGAUGGGCUUUAUAAUGAUUUUGAAAAAUUACGAAUUUUAUUUUCUAAAAAGUUCAAAUAUCCUAGAUCAUAUUUAACAAUAUGGAUUGUCGAUUCGAAAGCUCCAACAUCGAAAAUAAUUUAUGAGUACGAAGGGCUCUAUACUCAUAAGAGUAGAGUAACUCUACUAUAUAUAUAUAUAUAGUCUUGAGCCGGGAGUGCUUUUGGAAACACCAAGUACUUUGAC